rnacentral:rRNA from 1 species
AUUGAACGCUGGCGGCAGGCCUAACACAUGCAAGUCGAGCGGACGAAGGGAGCUUGCUCCUGGAUUCAGCGGCGGACGGGUGAGUAAUGCCUAGGAAUCUGCCUGGUAGUGGGGGAUAACGUCCGGAAACGGGCGCUAAUACCGCAUCCGUCCUGAGGGAGAAAGUGGGGGAUCUUCGGACCUCACGCUAUCAGAUGAGCCUAGGUCGGAUUAGCUAGUUGGUGGGGUAAAGGCCUACCAAGGCGACGAUCCGUAACUGGUCUGAGAGGAUGAUCAGUCACACUGGAACUGAGACACGGUCCAGACUCCUACGGGAGGCAGCAGUGGGGAAUAUUGGACAAUGGGCGAAAGCCUGAUCCAGCCAUGCCGCGUGUGUGAAGAAGGUCUUCGGAUUGUAAAGCACUUUAAGUUGGGAGGAAGGGCAGUAAGUUAAUACCUUGCUGUUUUGACGUUACCAACAGAAUAAGCACCGGCUAACUUCGUG